GACGAACGCUGGCGGCGUGCUUAACACAUGCAAGUCGAACGGAAAGGCCCUGCUUUUGUGGGGUGCUCGAGUGGCGAAAGGGUGAGUAACACGUGAGUAACCUGCCCUUGACUUUGGGAUAACUUCAGGAAACUGGGGCUAAUACCGGAUAGGAGCUCCUGCUGCAUGGUGGGGGUUGGAAAGUUUCGGCGGUUGGGGAUGGACUCGCGGCUUAUCAGCUUGUUGGUGGGGUAGUGGCUUACCAAGGCUUUGACGGGUAGCCGGCCUGAGAGGGUGACCGGCCACAUUGGGACUGAGAUACGGCCCAGACUCCUACGGGAGGCAGCAGUGGGGAAUAUUGCACAAUGGGCGGAAGCCUGAUGCAGCAACGCCGCGUGCGGGAUGACGGCCUUCGAGUUGUAAACCGCUUUCGCCUGUGACGAAGCGUGAGUGACGGUAAUGGGUAAAGAAGCACCGGCUAACUACGUG
rnacentral:rRNA from 1 species